rnacentral:rRNA from 1 species
CGCUGGCGGCGUGCUUACACAUGCAAGUCGAACGAGAAUCACCGGAAGGAGUUUUCGGACAACGGAAGGUGAGGACAGUGGCGGACGGGUGAGUAACGCGUGAGGAACCUGCCUUUCAGAGGGGGACAACAGUUGGAAACGACUGCUAAUACCGCAUAACGCAUAGGUAUCGCAUGGUACUUAUGCCAAAGAUUUAUCGCUGAAAGAUGGCCUCGCGUCUGAUUAGCUGGUUGGUGAGGUAACGGCCCACCAAGGCGACGAUCAGUAGCCGGACUGAGAGGUUGACCGGCCACAUUGGGACUGAGAUACGGCCCAGACUCCUACGGGAGGCAGCAGUGGGGAAUAUUGGGCAAUGGGCGCAAGCCUGACCCAGCAACGCCGCGUGAAGGAAGAAGGCUUUCGGGUUGUAAACUUCUUUUGGCAGGGAAGAGGAGAAGACGGUACCUGCCGAAUAAGCCACGGCUAACUACGUGCCAGCAGCCGCGGUAAUACGUAGGUGGCAAGCGUUGUCCGGAUUUACUGGGUGUAAAGGGCGUGUAGCCGGGUUGGUAAGUCAGAUGUGAAAUGCACGGGCUUAACUCGUGAACUGCAUUUGAAACUGCUGAU